GAACUUAUUUUUUCGUAUCUCAUAUUUAACACAAAUGGAUGUAAAACUGGUAUUUGUUAUGGAAGGGGAACCACCAAAGCUGAAAGCUGAUGUCAUAAGCAAGAGGAAUCAGACUCGGUAUGGGUCAUCUGGAAAAUCGUGGUCUCAGAAAACAGGGAGAUCACAUUUUAAAUCAGUCUUAAGAGAGUGCCUCCAUAUGCUCGAAUGCUUAGGAAUCCCCUGGGUUCAGGCUGCUGGGGAAGCUGAAGCCAUGUGUGCUUAUCUCAAUGCUGGUGGUCAUGUCGAUGGCUGCCUCACCAAUGACGGAGAUACUUUCCUUUAUGGGGCCCAGACGGUUUACAGGAAUUUCACUAUGAAUACAAAGGUGUUUAUUUUCUUUCUCUUUUUCAGCAUUUGUUUACAAACUACCUUUUUUAAAGAGCUGAUUAAAUGAAA
rnacentral:sRNA from 1 species